GCCUACGGGACGCAGCAGUGAGGAAUAUUGGUCAAUGGCCGGAAGGCUGAACCAGCCAAGCCGCGUGAAGGACGAAGGUGCCAAGCAUUGUAAACUUCUUUUGUCAAGGGACAAAAUCAGGCUCGAGAGCCUGACCGAGGGUACUUGAAGAAAAAGCAUCGGCUAACUCCGUGCCAGCAGCCGCGGUAAUACGGAGGAUGCGAGCGUUAUCCGGAUUUAUUGGGUUUAAAGGGUGCGUAGGCGGAUUUUUAAGUCAGCGGUAAAAUGUCCGGGCUCAACCCGGGCCGGCCGUUGAAACUGGGGAU
rnacentral:rRNA from 1 species